ensembl:lncRNA
CAUGCUAUCUUCCUGUGCCAAGAAAGCCUAACUCAUUGAGAAUAGGCAGUUUGCCAAGAUUCCUAUCAGCAAUAAUAGAAGUGAGCAGAGGGGCCUGCUCAGAGAAUGGAGUUCUUUGCAGUUUCUAGAUCAAGAGGAAUCCAAAUCCUAGAGCUGCAACCCCAAUAGAUAGAUUGUAGAUGAUGCCAACAUUUAACUGUUCCUUUAAAAUCAUCUGUGCCAGGUUCAGACUGAUAGAUUGAGUCUGCCAUCUGAUAUUCAUUUACUUAGGAGAAAGUCCCUUUGAACUCAUUAGGCUUCAGUCUGAAUAGGUAGGUUUAAGACGCCACUGCAACAUCUUUGAAAUAUUUACAAGGAAUGAAGCUUCAUUGGGGUUGGUAAGAACAAUGCUUAUCUGAUAUUCUAUGUAUUAACAUCCUCCUUGAUCUCUUCCACAUUGUCCUACUUUCUCACAUAUGGUCUUUUAGCUCCAAUUCUCAUUUUUCUUUCCACACUCAGUCAUGAGUUGAGGCACAACAUGGACUGGAACAGCUGGUGGAGCAGCUGCUGCAAAGACUUUGGGCUACUUCUGUAUCAGAGCAGUGCACAAUGCUUGGAAAAUCUGCCUAGGCAGGAAUGGGGUAUAUAGGAAAUGUGUUGUUGUCCAACAGUAUCAUUGUGUGUGUUUGCUCAGUCAGCAUAGCAACUGCAGGCAGGAGAUGUGAUUUUUAUCUUGAGAUAUCAAAUUACAUUCAGGGUGGAUUCUACUGACAUACCAUUACAUGGUAAAGAGAAUCCCCAAAUAGGUUUGUUAAAAUAAUGCAGACAAAACAAUAAUACAUCAGAUUAUACACUUCACCUUUUCAACACCAUAGUGAAUCAUGCAACCCAGACUUCAUCAACAUACUUGACAAUCAUAUUACCUCAUUUUUAAAACUGGUGAAUAGAAACAAACUUUACAACUGAUGCCUAAUAGGAUUGCAAAGUUUUAAUCAUGAAAGAACAGCAUGAUUGUCUUUCUUGUGUUAUCCUUCCUAAGCCUAAAGUUUCAAAUAGCUCCAUCCCUGUCUCAACAUGUUCAACAAUGUUGCAUCUAGAGCUGGCCCUCCUGUUAGGCGGAAUGAGGUGGUCAACUCAAGUGACAGAGGACCAUUGGGAGCAGUCCCAGGUCCCUGAAAGACAAAUCUUAGAAUGAGAAGAGCUGGAGGAAGAAGAAGGAAAAAAAGAUAUUCUCCAAAGACCCACCUUGAGUGACAACACAAAUGUCUGAAAACUCACCAGCUAAUCACUGAUUUGGGUUUUAAAUACUGAGGGAAUUGGAAACUGAUGACCUGGCAACCUUGUUACCUCUUAUCCUACAAAUGAAAACAUUUCCACAAGCCCAAGAUUCUUUUUUUAUAUGUAGUUUUUAAAAAACUGAUGACACAAAAACAUGAAUAUAAUACAAUAAUACAAAAAAGUGGGACCAUCUGGCGAUAUAACCAAUUUUUCCUCCAUUACAGAGCUCCAUUCCUGCUCCAAAACUGCAUUGAUUCUUGUGAAGGUAGAAGCCCGACCCUUUUGAAAACACAAACUCAGUAAAUUCUCCCCAUAUAUUGACAGAGCUAUUCUUCUGUAGCAAUCCCCUUUUAAUGUUCAUAUUACAACUUAAUUUACCAUUAAUAGACAUAUUCCAAACUUCUUCAUACCAUUAAUU